rnacentral:tRNA from 2 species
GAUUAAAUGGCUGAAGUUUAGGCGAUAAAUUGUAAAUUUAUUUAUGAGUGAAUUCUCUUUAAUCA